GAUGAACGCUAGCGGCAGGCCUAAUACAUGCAAGUCGAACGGGAUUGCGGUGUAGCUUGCUACACUGCAUGAGAGUGGCGCACGGGUGCGUAACGCGUGAGCAACCUACCCAUAUCAGGGGGAUAGCCCGGAGAAAUCCGGAUUAACACCGCAUGGGACAGUAUUACCGCCUGGUAUAGCAGUUAAAUAUUUAUAGGAUAUGGAUGGGCUCGAGUGACAUUAGCCAGUUGGUGGGGUAACGGCCCACCAAGGCGACGAUGUCUAGGGGCCCGGAGAGGACGACCAGCCACACUGGAACUGAGACACGGUCCAGACUCCUACGGGAGGCAGCAGUGGGGAAUUUUGGACAAUGGGCGAAAGCCUGAUCCAGCCAUUCCGCGUGCAGGAUGAAGGCCCUCGGGUUGUAAACUGCUUUUGUACAGAACGAAAAGGUUUCUACUAAUACUAGGAGCUCAUGACGGUACUGUAAGAAUAAGCACCGGCUAACUACGUGCCAGCCGCCGCCGUAA
rnacentral:rRNA from 1 species